CGACUCAGUGUGUUGCCUGCUCCACUCGCUUUUGUUGUUUGGGAGGAGCUCGAGGAUCAGCCGAACCCCUCCUUCUCCCCUGCACCUCCGUGGAGGUGCGUCACAGACUGAGACGAUGGAGCCGCAAGUGUUCACCCCUGCGUGCUCUCCAAUUUUCGACUUAUUCAUGCACCCCUAAAAGGCCCCACCCGCACCGCUUCUGUUUUACUGACUUUGCACGUCUUGUUGGCCGCACCGACGCAGGCUUAGCGCCGCUUCGUAGAUGAUCAGCACGGCACAAUGAGCCCGUGGCUUUCGUUCGAGAGCUUUCUUCACAGCCACACCGCAAAGUGGUGCCGCUGCGGACUCGUUGCGUUCAGCGCCUUUGGGGUCGGGAGCGACUACUACCUCACGCACCACUACCAGGCCUUCGACCCCUCCGAAGGGCGGCAGUACGUCGUUGACUGGAGCCCUAUCGGCAAACCGCGGUGCCAGAUGCUGCUCAUCCCGAACAACCACUACACCAAUUACAGUCCAUGGACGCCCAAGAAUGGCGACGUCGUGCUCGCUCGCGAGGUGGAAGACGAGCCAAAUUAUCUGCAGCUGCUCAAUGGCCGUUUCGUGGAGCGGCAGACAUGCGGGGUUACGCUGCUCCGACCGAUAGAGGAGGUGGCUCAGAGUAAGAGGGAGGAGCAGCUGCAGCGCGAGAGGCUGUUGUCAUACAUUUUCAGUACCGACGACAUGGUGCGGCCCCCGACUGACCACUAGACCCUCGUUGAGACGACCUGGCCUGAGCCCGCAUCGAACCUGUUGUCGACGGAGUACGCGGAGCGCAGUGCUGUGCCUGUGCGCAGAAGUGCGAGAAUGGGCCCUUGCUGAGAGAAAGUGAUGUGCUCACCUGUACGUGAGUGUGCGUGCGGUGUCCAUGCGGAAGGCAGCGCGACAAACUUCUGCAGAGGCACACUGCGGUUAACAGCAGACGCGGCGGCCUUGAUAUCUGCCACGGUGUGCUGUAGGUACCCUUCUGCUGCCCAUCACGCGGGCACAGCGUCGGUCUCUCUCUUUCUGUAUAUAUAUAUAUAUGUGUGUGUGUUUCUGUGUGUGUGUCUGUGCUGGCGUCAGAGCGGGAGAGGGUCGCGGCUCUACUCCAUCAGCUGCAGGCCUUUCGGCAACCCUCUCUCGAAGCGGAGCAACGUACACCGACACACGCCCGUGGGAGAGACGGCGAGUAAAAGGGACAGCUUGGGGGCAGCGCGCACGCAGACCUUCACAUUCCUCUUAUCUCUCUCGCUCUCUGUCUUUUUCUUUGGUCCCAUCUACCGUACACAUCCGCGCGCGCGCACACACACACACACACACACAUGCAG
rnacentral:misc_RNA from 1 species